AGGAUAUAAAAGCCCAAACCGAAAUAUGGGAAGGAAGCUUUUCAAAUAGAGAGCCCUAAGGAGAGCUGAGAGCAGAGAGGGGCAAAGGGGUUUAUGUUUAUAGGGGCGAAGGCGAUCGAACCUGAUGAUUCCUAACUCUCAUUCACUCAGGAAAAUUAUUGUAAGAGUUCCCUGCAAUAGUAUUAAUACCUUAUUGAGCUCUUUGCUUCAGGAAUAGUUAAUUGGAAUUCCGUCUCCCAUUGCAUAUUUUAGGUCAGGGAAUCUGCAUCAGGUGGCGUCGAUGGUGUGUAUGGAUUAAAUAGUACAUAAAAUUUUGGUAGCUUCUGUUGAUUGCUGGAGAUAAAUACAUGAAUAGCGGCGGCAGACAUCGGAACCUCGGUGGUGGGGUUCACCAUGUGUUGGACUAUCUGAAGCGAAUGCAGGCGGAGAAUCCUGCUUUCUUUUAUGCAAUUCAGGCUGAUAAUGAGCAUUCCACCGGAAACAUAUUCUGGGCUGAUGCAAAUUGUAGGAUGAACUACAAUUACUUUGGGGAUACGGUUAGGCUAGACACGACCUACAGGAGGAAUCACUUCAGAGUACCGUUUGCCUCAUUCACAGGCCUAAAUCAUCAUGGCCAGCCGGUUUUGUUUGGCAGUGCAUUGCUUCUUAAUGAGUCUGAUUCAGCUUUUUUGUGGCUAAUCCAAACAUGGCUUCAUGCAAUGUCUGGACGGUUCCCCAUCUCUGUCACAACUGACCGAGAUCGGCUCAUCCAGAUGGCUGUCUCACAAGUUCUGCCUGAAACCCGCCAUCGCUUCUGUAAGUGGAGCAUAUUCCAAGAAACCCAGGAGAAAUUAGCUCAUAUAUAUCAACAACAUUCCACCUUUGAUCUAGAGUUUAAGAAGUGUGUUAAUGAGACUGAGUCAGUCAGUGAAUUUGAGUCAUGUUGGGAAUCACUCCUUCAGCGGUACUACCUCUUGGAUAAUGAGUGGCUUCAGUCAAUGUACGCCAUUCAGCAUCAAUGGGUCCCUGUUUACAUGCGAGACACCUUCUUUGGGGAGUUAUCUAGGAAUAUUUCUGGGCCCGGCAUUACAAAUUCUUUUUUUGACGGGUAUGUGAAUGCAACAACUAGUAUACAGAUGCUAAUUAAACAGUAUGAGAAAGCAGUGGCCAGUUGGCAUGAAAAGGAAUUAAAGGCAGACUAUGACACUACUACUAAUGUGCCUGUUUUGAAGACACCAUCUCCUAUGGAGAAACAGGCUGCUAGCUUUUAUACGAAGAGAAUAUUCCUGAAAUUUCAAGAGGAAUUGGUAGAAACCCUUGCUAAUCCAGCAACAAGAGUUGAAGAUUCUGGAACGACUACCACCUAUCAAGUGGCCAAAUUUGGGGAGGAGCAUAAAGCACACACCGUUAGGUUCAAUGCUUUUGAGAUGAAAGCUAAUUGCAGCUGCCAAAUGUUCGAAUUUUCUGGCAUUAUUUGUAGGCAUGUGUUAUCGGUUUUCAGAUCUAAAAAUGUUCUUACACUUCCUUCGGAUUAUAUUUUGAAACGGUGGACAAGAAAUGCAAAGAGUGGUGGUGUCAUUGAUGGACAGGCCCUUGAAUUGCCAAAUGAUUCACAAGAAUCUUUAACUGUUAGAUAUAACAAUCUACGUCAGGAAGCCAUCAAAUUUGUGGAAGAAGGAGCAAAAUCUAUCCAUAUUUAUAAUGUUGCAAUGGAAGCCCUGCAGGAGGCUGCAAAGAAGGUUGCUACUGCAAAGAAGAAAAGUUUCACAAAGAGUGGCACUCUGGCCAAUGGAGAUGGCCAAGAAGUUCAUACAUGUGAAGAGAAUGAAAUAAUGUCACUUCAAUCUUCGGUGCCAUUGGAAUAGAAACUCAAUUAAUUACCAAAUCAAGGUUCAAUACUUGAAGCUUCCACAUUUUUAGAUCAGCAAUGUUGAACACACACGAAGUAGGGAUAUUGUCAGGAAUAUCUAGAAGAGCAUUGGUACCCAACUUCUUCAAAAUGCAAAAUGGUCCAAACUUCCAUCAACUCAGCUUACCAUAUUAUCUAGUUGGAUUCUAUCAUGUCAAAAGUGAACCAUAACUAAACCUCCCUUUGAAAUUGAUUGUUUCCUAUUAUACUUAUUUGCUGUUCAGCAUUGUAGCUUGAAGCUUCUCAAGCACCUCCCGUUGUAUCUGACCUAUGCGUUUAACAAGCUCAUCUGCUUCAGCACUUAGAUGACCAUGAAAAGGAACUGGUGCAGCAAAUUUUGGACAACAGCCUGGCAAGCUAAUAGAGGUUAAGAAAUGCUUCUCACAACAGCCCUAUGCCAUGCCACACCAACUAUCAAGCUAGAGUCUAGCCCCAUUGGUUAGCUCUACAACCUUAACAAAAGUCUUUUUAUAGGAUUUUUUGCACACUUUCUCAUAAUUUCUCAAUAAUUAACCCCAUAGGUUACCCAAAACUCCAUAGUGAACCAAUGAUCCUGAUCACAACCAUAUUUACUCUCUUUGUAACACCAAGGGCCCUCACAUGAAGAUGCUAGCUGAGGUUAAUUUUGGACUCAUGCGACAAGGUCUUGGAGUUCUCUAGGCCAGCAAUCUCAUAAUUAUAACCCAAGGUUAGCACCAUCUUGGCCUGUGCACACAUGAUAAUGUUCCUAAGUUGCCUUUCAUACCAUUUAUAAUACUAUGAACCCUUGCCCAAAACUGCUAGUUAAAGUUGACUCUUAAAUGCAAUACGGCAAGAGACCAAGUAAUCCACAACCUCCCCAAUAGAAUGUUGAUGUGGGAUUGAGUUUCAACUUUUUAUCUUUUUUUUGGCUCACUAUUGACUAUUCCAAAUCCACUUUUUUGAAAGGGCUUGACUAACCUUCCAAUACCAAUGCCACCCCCCUGAAGACGCAGACCCCUACCUGCCUCCUUGUAAACUCCCAUACUUAUAAGGCUGCCUGCAGUUUUUUUCCUGUUCACAAGCUGAUCAUUGUAACCAUUGUCUAACAAUGAUUCAUAUAAGACUUCCAGCUUCUGACAUGCCAUGGCAGGGUGCAGAU